rnacentral:rRNA from 1 species
GAUGAACGCUGGCGGCGUGCCUAAUACAUGCAAGUAGAACGCUGAAGCUUGGUGCUUGCACCGAGCGGAUGAGUUGCGAACGGGUGAGUAACGCGUAGGUAACCUGCCUCUUAGCGGGGGAUAACUAUUGGAAACGAUAGCUAAUACCGCAUAAAAGACGAUAUCGCAUGAUAUUGAUUUGAAAGAUGCAAUUGCAUCACUAAGAGAUGGACCUGCGUUGUAUUAGCUAGUUGGUGAGGUAACGGCUCACCAAGGCGACGAUACAUAGCCGACCUGAGAGGGUGAUCGGCCACACUGGGACUGAGACACGGCCCAGACUCCUACGGGAGGCAGCAGUAGGGAAUCUUCGGCAAUGGGGGCAACCCUGACCGAGCAACGCCGCGUGAGUGAAGAAGGUUUUCGGAUCGUAAAGCUCUGUUGUAAGAGAAGAACGAGUGUGAGAGUGGAAAGUUCACACUGUGACGGUAACUUCCAGAAAGGACGGCUAA